AGGAUGAACGCUGGCGGCGUGCUUAACACAUGCAAGUCAUGGGGGGCCCGAGGCGCAAGCUUAGGGCAACCGGCGAACGGGUGCGUAACACGUGAGCAACCUACCCAGGUGUGGGGGAUAGCCGUCCCAACGGACGGGUAAUACCGCAUACGCUCAACACGAGGCAUUUCGAGUUGAGGAACCUUCGGGGCACCAUGAGGGCUCGCGGCCUAUCAGCUAGUUGGCGAGGUAACGGCUACACCAAGGCUACGGACGGGUAGCUGGUCUGAGAGGAUGACCAGCCACGAUUGGGACUGACGAAACCGCCCAGAC
rnacentral:rRNA from 1 species